AUGCUCGCUUCGGCAGCACAUACACUAAAAUCAGAAAGAUACAGAGAAGGUUAGCAUGGCCCUUGUGCAAGGAUAACACAGAUUCGUGAAGUGUUCCAUAUUUUU